AUUGAACGCUGGCGGCAUGCCUAACACAUGCAAGUCGAGCGAGGUGUAGCAAUACAUCUAGCGGCGGACGGGUGAGGAAUACAUAGGAAUUUGCCUUUAAGUGGGGGAUAGCCCGGGGAAACUCGGAGUAAUACCGCAUGAUGUCGAAAGACCAAAGCAGGGGACCGCAAGGCCUUGCGCUUUUAGAGAAGCCUAUGUCGGAUUAGCUAGUUGGUGAGGUAAUGGCNCACCAAGGCAACGAUCCGUAGCUGGUUUGAGAGAACGAUCAGCCACACCGGAACUGAGACACGGUCCGGACUCCUACGGGAGGCAGCAGUGGGGAAUAUUGGACAAUGGGCGAAAGCCUGAUCCAGCAAUGCCGCGUGUGUGAAGAAGGCCUCGG
rnacentral:rRNA from 1 species